GGGGGCUAAGGGUGCAGGGGGACAGGAGGAAGCAUGACAGCUCAUCUAAGCCUUGGAGGCCAGUCCCAGUUAACAUCCCGAGGGAAGAAAACAGACAUGCCCAAGAGAAGAACUAGGAUUCUGGUUUUGCAGCAGCAACUUGCCCAUGACACUGGAUUAUCCAGGAAGAAAGACGUGGCCAAUGUUAGAAUUAAAAAAUUUUUUUGGCCAUUUAAUGUCUUACAUACACUUACAAGAUCAAUACACUUGUCCAGUCCAGCAAACUUCAACUCCACCAGUUCAGGACGCACAUUUGGUACCACAGCCCUCGCACCCAGCUGAGAAGAGGAAGGCGUGGUGGGGGAGUGGACAGAAGGAGGGAACGACCUCACUGAACGUGCAAGAUGUCUGCUGUUAUCAGGCCUGUUUAACAGAUGAGGGAAUAAAAGCACAGAGAGGCUGAAGACCUUGCCCAGGAUCACAUGGCGGGUCCACGGCAGAGCUGUUUCGGACCGCAGGCAAGCCAACUUCAAAGUUCAUAACCAUGUGUUAGGAGGGUCACAAGUGUAAC
ensembl:lncRNA